rnacentral:rRNA from 1 species
ACGGAGGGUGCAAGCGUUAUCCGGAAUCAUUGGGUUUAAAGGGUCCGUAGGCGGAUUAAUAAGUCAGAGGUGAAAUCCCACAGCUUAACUGUGGAACUGCCUUUGAUACUGUUAGUCUUGAGUUAUAUGGAAGUAGAUAGAAUGUGUAGUGUAGCGGUGAAAUGCAUAGAUAUUACACAGAAUACCGAUUGCGAAGGCAGUCUACUACGUAUAUACUGACGCUAAUGGACGAAAGCGUGGGGAGCGAACAGG